GAGAGUUUGAUCCUGGCUCAGGAUGAACGCUGGCGGCGUGCCUAAUACAUGCAAGUCGAGCGAACAGACGAGGAGCUUGCUCCUCUGACGUUAGCGGCGGACGGGUGAGUAACACGUGGAUAACCUACCUAUAAGACUGGGAUAACUUCGGGAAACCGGAGCUAAUACCGGAUAAUAUAUUGAACCGCAUGGUUCAGUAGUGAAAGACGGUUUUGCUGUCACUUAUAGAUGGAUCCGCGCCGCAUUAGCUAGUUGGUAAGGUAACGGCUUACCAAGGCAACGAUGCGUAGCCGACCUGAGAGGGUGAUCGGCCACACUGGAACUGAGACACGGUCCAGACUCCUACGGGAGGCAGCAGUAGGGAAUCUUCCGCAAUGGGCGAAAGCCUGACGGAGCAACGCCGCGUGAGUGAUGAAGGUCUUCGGAUCGUAAAACUCUGUUAUUAGGGAAGAACAAAUGUGUAAGUAACUAUGCACGUCUUGACGGUACCUAAUCAGAAAGCCACGGCUAACUA
rnacentral:rRNA from 1 species